CCCUAGCCCCGAUUGAAGUGGAAAUCCUUUUUUUUCGCCACAGCGAAUAAAAAGAUUGCAACGAAAAGCGGGAAAUAGC
rnacentral:sRNA from 1 species